rnacentral:tRNA from 1 species
AAGGGUAUAGCUUAGUGGUAGAGCACAUGCCUAGCAUGCCCAAGGUCCUGGGUUCAAUUCCCAGUACCUCCU